rnacentral:lncRNA from 1 species
UGCGCGCUGCUGGAGUGGAUGGAACAAUGGAAUGUUCUAAAAUUAGAUGCACAAAUGUGGAACAAAUCUGGUGGUUGCAAUAGGAUGCUGAAAAUAGAAUGUGCGCUAGCGCUUAUAAUAGGAUGUAUGGAUGGAAGAAAGGAGCAUGCAGGAGGUGGCGGUUAAUCAUAGCAUGCUCACGGGUUGAAGUGAAAGGGUGCAUGCGCCUAAAAAUAUAGGGGUGCGUACAAGUGAAAAGAGAAACUGGUGGAUGGAGUUUACAUGGUGCACAAGUAGGGUGGUGAUGAUAGUUCAGACAGUCCAAAUGUAUAUGAUAAUAGUGAUUGCAGCAGAGAUUAUACGAUGGGCAAUGACUAAAACGUGACAAGAACUCCAAACUCUAAAAGUCUAAACCCAAGACCAGCAAUUCGACUCGACCGAUGUAAAUCAAACACAACUUGCCUGAACUAAGUAGUACUAGUAAAAGGCUCAAUGGGUCUAUAGGAUGUUGGGAAUGAAACAAAUUUUUUUUUGGCUUUUUUGGACUAUAGGAAGAAAAAUUGCAAACUAAAAUCACUCACCAAUCAAACCUUGCUCUGAUUACCACGUAAUAAGAACGAGGGUGUCCCAAUCUUUUUGGUGGAGAUGGAUAACUUCGAUCUAGUGGAAGGAGACGACGUUCACGAUCCGACUACAACCAUCCAAGGAUGAUGCGCCUUAGCAACCGAUACACCGACUCCAAGGAUCACUGCGUUCUUGUGGUGCGCGACCCGGCCACGAGGGUACUCGUCCUGCAAGCAAUCGAAGAACAAGCAAGAACACAAUGAACAAUCACAAUUGCAAAAUAUAUAUAUAUUGAGCUUUGAAUCUAAAAUCACAAGAUGGUGGGGUUCCGUUUACAAUCAGACGGGCGGUUUAUCCAACACGCGCGCUGAAAGGCGGUAGCAAAUGGCUAACUCGAUUAAACAAAACCCAAAUUGUUGUGGUGGCAUGUAGGAGCCAUAAAUACAAGAGAGAGCAAAGCUAGGCGGCACUCUCGACACUCUAAAAAUAACAGAGAAAUAAAGGCAACCAUUGCUUGGUUGCAUGAGAUCCUUAUUGACCGAAACAUGAGAUCAUUAUUGACCGAAGCAUGCUCUAAAAGUAGGUAUCCGAAGAAAAGGUCCGUGGAGUUAUUAGACAAUUGCGGCCGCCUCAUAGCUGUUGUGAACUUGAAUUGAGAUCCAUCUAAAAAUAUAUUUGACGAGUUUUCCAUCAAGUGCUUGCAUGCUUAAAAUGGACUCUGUAUGAAGUCAUGGCGGUUGUUGUAAGUUUGUGCUGUCUUGCUGUCCAAAUCCAGCCAACGCCAAUCCCCUAUGCUUCUGGUCCUCUCCAUCAUUCCUAAGCAAAAUAAGAGUGCAUAUGUCUCCAUUGUCUAAAUAUGAUGGACAAGAGUUUAAGAAUAAACUUACUUGAUGGUUCAGUUGACGGGCACGGGCACGAGUAAGAGGGCCAAGUGGUGUUGGCGAUGGUGUGGGUGUAGGUGUGGAUGUAUAGAUGGUGCUGAUGUCCUCAUCAUGUUCCAUGCAAACCGUGCACCUAUCUUACAUCAAGAUUAGAACUAUCUCCAAAUAGAUAGAACCAAGAUUCCACUUGAGCCUCUUCACCAAGGAGUACCAUUGUGUGCGUCCAAAAUAGUUUCUUAGCCUAUGGUGCAUUAGGCACAAACCGUGUACCUAUCUUGCACCGAAACUAACACUAUAUCCAAAGAGACCGAAGUGAGAUUCUAUAUGACACACGUCAUCUAAGAGUUCUAUUGGGUGCUUCCAAAUAUAUUUCGAAGCAUAUGGUACGUUUCAUGCAAUUCGUGCACCUAUCUUGCAUCAAGAUUAGCACUAUCUCCAAACAAAGCAAACUGAGCUUCCACUUGAGCACCUUUACCCAGGAGUAUCAUCGGGUGCAUCCAAAAUGGUUUCUUAGCCUAUGAUGCAUUAGGCGCAAACUGGGUACCUAUCUUGCACCAAAACUAACUCUGUCUCCAAACAGACCAAAGCGAGAUUCUAUAUCACACAUGUCAUCUAGGAGUUCUAUUGGGGAGUGUCUAAAUGGAUUUCUUAGCAUAUGGUAUGUUCCAUGCAAACCGUGCACCUAUCUUGCAUCAAGAUUAGCACUAUCUCUAAACAGAUUGAACCGACCUUCCACUUGAGCCUUUUCACCUAGGAUUAUCAUCCGGUGCUUCCAUAAUGGUUUCUGAGCCUAUGGUGCAUUAUGCGCAAACCAUGCACCAAUCUUGCACCUAAACAAACACUGUCUCAAAACAGAUUGAAGCAAGAUUCCAUAUGACACACAUGAUCUAGGAGUUCUAUCGGGUGCAUCCAAAUUGAUUUAUAAGAAUAUGGUACGUUCUAUGCAAACCGUACACCUAUCUUUCAUCAAGAUUAGCACUAUCUCCAAACAGACCGAACCGACCUUUCACUUGAGCCUCUUCACCUAGGAGUACCAUCGGGAACUUCCACAACGAUUUCUGAGCCUAUGGUGCACUGGGCACAAACCAUGCAACCAUCUUGCACUGAAACUAAUACUAUCUCCAACUAGACCGAAGCGAGAUUCCAUAUGAUACACUUCAUCUAGUAGUUCCAUCGGGUGCAUCUACAGUUCCAUCGGGUUUGUCUAAAUUGAUUUCUGAGCAUAUGGUAUGUUCUAUGCAAACCAUGCACCUAUCUUGCAUCAAGAUUAGAACUAUCUCCAAACAGACAGAACUAAGAUUCCCCUUGAGCCUCUUCACCAUGGAGUACCAUCGUGUGCGUCCAAAAUAGUUUCUUAACCUAUGGUGCAUUAGGCACAAACCGUGUACCUAUCUUGCACCAAAACUAACACUACCUCCAAAGAGACCGAAGUGAGAUUCUAUAUGACACACGUCAUCUAGGAGUUCUAUUGGGUGCUUCCAAAUAUAUUUUGAAGCAUAUGGUACGUCCCAUGCAAUGCGUGCACCUAUCUUACAUCAAGAUUAGCACUAUCUCCAAACAAAAGCAAACUGAGCUUUCACUUGAGCCCCUUUACCCAGGAGUAUCAUUAGGUGUAUCCAAAAUGGUUUCUUAGCCUAUGAUGCAUUAGGCACAAACUGUGUACCUAUCUUGCACCAAAACUAGCUCUGUCUCCAAACAGACCGAAGCGAGACUCCAUAUGACACAUGUCAUCUAGGAUUUCUAUUGGGGUGCGUCCAAAUGCAUUUCUUAGCAUAUGGUAUGUUGCAUGCAAACCGUGCACCUAUCUUGCAUCAAGAUUAGCACUAUCUCCAAAUAGAUCGAACCGACCUUCCACUUGAGCCUCUUCAACUAGGAUUAUCAUCGGGUGCUUCCAUAAUGGUUUCUGAGCCUAUGGUGCAUUAUGCGCAAACCAUGCACCAAUAUUGCACCUAAACUAACACUGUCUCCAAACAGAUUUAAGCGAGAUUCCAUAUGACACACAUGAUCUAGGAGUUCUAUCGGGUGCGUCCAAAUUGAUUUCCGAGAAUAUGGUACGUUCCAUGCAAACCGUACACCUGUCUUGCAUCAAGAUUAGCACUAUCUCCGAACAGACCGAAUCGAGCUUUCACAUGAGCCACUUCACCUAGCAGUACCAUCGGGAACUUCCACAAUGAUUUCUGAGCCUAUGGUGCACUGGGCACAAACCAUGCAACUAUCUUGCACCGAAACUAAUACUAUCUCCAACUAGACCGAAGCGAGAUUCCAUAUGAUACACUUCAUCUAGUAGUUCCAUCGGGUGCAUCUACAGUUCCAUCGGGUUUGUCCAAAUUAAUUUCUAAGCAUAUGGUAUGUUCCAUGCAAACCGUGCACCUAUCUUGUAUCAAGAUUAGAACUAUCUCCAAACAGAUAGAACCAAGAUUCCACUUGAGCCUCUUCACCAAGGAGCACCAUCGCGUGCGUCCAAAAAAGUUUCUUAGCCUAUGGUGCAUUAGGCACAAAUCUUGUACCUAUCUUGCACCGAAACUAACACAUCUCCAAAGAGACCGAAGUGAGAUUCUAUAUGACACACGUCAUCUAAGAGUUCUAUUGGGUGCUUCCAAUUAUAUUUUGAAGCAUAUUGUAUGUUCGAUGCAAUUCGUGCACCUAUCUUGCAUCAAGAUUAGCACUAUCUCCAAACAAAGCAAACUGAGCUUCCACUUGAGCCCCUUUACCCAGGAGUAUCAUCGGGUGCAUCCAAAAUGGUUUCUUAGCCUAUGAUGCAUUAGGCGCAAACUGGGUACCUAUCUUGCACCAAAACUAACUCUGUCUCCAAACAGACCAAAGCGAGAUUCUAUAUGACACAUGUCAUCAAGGAGUUCUAUUGGGGAGUGUCCAAAUGAAUUUCUUAGCAUAUGGUAUGUUCCAUGCAAACCGUGCACCUAUCUUGCAUCAAGAUUAGCACUAUCUCUAAACAGAUCGAACCGACCUUCCACUUGAGCCUUUUCACCUAGGAUUAUCAUCGGGUGCUUCCAUAAUUGUUUCUGAGCCUAUGGUGCAUUAUGCGCAAACCCAAUCUUGCACCUAAACAAACACUGUCUCAAAACAGAUUGAAGCAAGAUUCCAUAUGACACACAUGAUCUAGGAGUUCUAUCGGGUGCAUCCAAAUUGAUUUAUAAGAAUAUGGUACGUUCUAUGCAAACCGUACACCUAUCUUUCAUCAAGAUUAGCACUAUCUCCAAACAGACCGAACCGAGCUUGCACUUGAGCCUCUUCACCUAGGAGUACCAUCGGGAACUUCCACAACGAUUUCUGAGCCUAUGGUGCACUGGGCACAAACCAGGCAACUAUCUUGCACCGACACUAAUAUUAUCUCCAACUAGACCGAAGCGAGAUUCCAUAUGAUACACUUCAUCUAGUAGUUCCAUCGGGUGCAUCUACAGUUCCAUCGGGUUUGGCCAAAUUGAUUUCUGAGCAUAUGGUAUGUUCCAUGCAAACCAUGCACCUAUCUUGCAUCAAUAUUAGAACUAUCUCCAAACAGACAGAACCAAGAUCCCACUUGAGCCUCUUCACCAUGGAGUACCAUCAUGUGCGUCCAAAAUAGUUUCUUAACCUAUGGUGCAUUAGGCACAAACCGUGUACCUAUCUUGCACCAAAACUAACACUACCUCCAAAGAGACCGAAGUGAGAUUCUAUAUGACACACGUCAUCUAGGAGUUCUAUUGGGUGCUUCCAAAUAUAUUUCGAAGCAUAUGGUACGUCCCAUGCAAUUCGUGCACCUAUCUUGCAUCAAGAUUAGCACUAUCUCCAAACAAAAGCAAACUGAGUUUCCACUGGAGCCCCUUUACCCAGGAGCAUCAUCGGGUCCAUCCAAAAUGGUUCCUUAGCCUAUGAUGCAUUAGGCGCAAACUGUGUACCUAUCUUGCACCAAAACUAACUUUGUCUCCAAACAAACCGAAGCGAGAUUCCAUAUGACACAUGUCAUCUUGAAGUUCUAUUGGGGUGCGUCCAAAUGGAUUUCUUAGCAUAUGGUAUGUUCCAUGCAAACCGUGCACCUAUCUUGCAUCAAGAUUACCACUAUCUCCAAACAGAUCAAAUCGACCUUCCACUUGAGCCUCUUCACCUUGGAUUAUCAUCGGGUGCUUCCAUAAUGGUUUCUGAGCCUAUGGUGCAUUAUGCGCAAACCAUGCACCAAUCUUGCACCUAAACUAACACUGUCUCUAAACAGAUUGAAGCGAGAUUCCAUAUGACACACAUGAUCUAGAAGUUCUAUCGGGUGCGUCCAAAUUGAUUUCUAAGACUAUGGUACGUUCCAUGCAAACCGUACACCUAUCUUUCAUCAAGAUUAGCACUAUCUCCAAAUAGACCGAGCCGAGCUUUCACUUGAGCCUCUUCACCUAGGAGUACCAUCGGGAACUUCCACAACGAUUUCUGAGCCUAUGGUGCACUGGGCACAAACCAUGCAACUAUCUUGCACCGAAACUAAUACUAUCUCCAACUGGACCGAAGCGAGAUUCCAUAUGAUACACUUCAUCUAGUAGUUCCAUCGGGUGCAUCUACAGUUCCAUCGGGUUUGUCUAAAUUGAUUUCUGAGCAUAUGGUAUGUUCUAUGCAAACCAUGCACCUAUCUUGCAUCAAGAUUAGAACUAUCUCCAAACAGACAGAACUAAGAUUCCACUUGAGCCUCUUCACCAUGGAGUACCAUCGUGUGCGUCCAAAAUAGUUUCUUAACCUAUGGUGCAUUAGGCACAAACCGUGUACCUAUCUUGCACCAAAACUAACACUUCCUCCAAAGAGACCGAAGUGAGAUUCUAUAUGACACACGUCAUCUAGGAGUUCUAUUGGGUGCUUCCAAAUAUAUUUCGAAGCAUAUGGUACGUCCCAUGCAAUUCGUGCACCUAUCUUGCAUCAAGAUUAGCACUAUCUCCAAACAAAAGUAAACUGAGCUUCCACUUGAGCCCCUUUACCCAGGAGUAUCAUCGGGUGCAUCCAAAAUGGUUCCUUAGCCUAUGAUGCAUUAGGCGCAAACUGUGUACCUAUCUUGUACCAAAACUAACUUUGUCUCCAAACAAACCGAAGCGAGAUUCCAUAUGACACAUGUCAUCUCGGAGUUCUAUUGGGGUGCGUCCAAAUGGAUUUCUUAGCAUAUGGUACGUUCCAUGCAAACCGUGCACCUAUCUUGCAUCAAGAUUAGCACUAUCUCCAAACAGAUCAAACCGACCUUCCACUUGAGCCUCUUCACCUAGGAUUAUCAUCGGGUGCUUCCAUAAUGGUUUCUGAGCCUAUGCUGCAUUAUGCGCAAACCAUGCACCAAUCACGCACCUGAACUAACUCUGUCUCCAAACAGAUUGAAGCGAGAUUCCAUAUGACACACAUGAUCUAGGAGUUCUAUCGGGUGCGUCCAAAUUGAUUUCUAAGACUAUGGUACGUUCCAUGCAAACCGUACACCUAUCUUUCAUCAAGAUUAGCACUAUCUCCAAAUAGACCGAGCCGAGCUUUCACUUGAGCCUCUUCACCUAGGAGUACCAUCGGGAACUUCCACAACAAUUUCUGAGCCUAUGGUGCACUGGGCACAAACCAUGCAACUAUCUUGCACCGAAACUAAUACUAUCUCCAACCGGACCGAAGCGAGAUUCCAUAUGAUACACUUCAUCUAGUAGUUCCAUCGGGUGCAUCUACAGUUCCAUCGGGUUUGUCUAAAUUGAUUUCUGAGCAUAUGGUAUGUUCUAUGCAUACCAUGCACCUAUCUUGCAUCAAGAUUAGAACUAUCUCCAAACAGACAGAACUAAGAUUCCACUUGAGCCUCUUCACCAUGGAGUACCAUCGUGUGCGUCCAAAAUAGUUUCUUAACCUAUGGUGCAUUAGGCACAAACCGUGUACCUAUCUUGCACCAAAAUUAACACUUCCUCCAAAGAGACCGAAGUGAGAUUCUAUAUGACACACGUCAUCUAGGAGUUCUAUUGGGUGCUUCCAAAUAUAUUUCGAAGCAUAUGGUACGUCCCAUGCAAUUCGUGCACCUAUCUUGCAUCAAGAUUAGCACUAUCUCCAAACAAAAGUAAACUGAGCUUCCACUUGAGCCCCUUUACCCAGGAGUAUCAUCGGGUGCAUCCAAAAUGGUUCCUUAGCCUAUGAUGCAUUAGGCGCAAACUGUGUACCUAUCUUGCACCAAAACUAACUUUGUCUCCAAACAAACCGAAGCGAGAUUCCAUAUGACACAUGUCAUCUCGGAGUUCUAUUGGGGUGCGUCCAAAUGGAUUUCUUAGCAUAUGGUACGUUCCAUGCAAACCGUGCACCUAUCUUGCAUCAAGAUUAGCACUAUCUCCAAACAGAUCAAACCGACCUUCCACUUGAGCCUCUUCACCUAGGAUUAUCAUCGGGUGCUUCCAUAAUGGUUUCUGAGCCUAUGGUGCAUUAUGCGCAAACCAUGCACCAAUCUUGCACCUAAACUAACUCUGUCUCCAAAUAGAUUGAAGCAAGAUUCCAUAUGACACACAUGAUCUAGAAGUUCUAUCGGAUGCGUCCAAAUUGAUUUCUAAGAAUAUGGUACGUUCCAUGCAAACCGUACACCUAUCUUUCAUCAAGAUUAGCACUAUCUCCAAAUAGACCGUACCGAGCUUUCACUUGAGCCUCUUCACCUAGGAGUACCAUCGGGAACUUCCACAACGAUUUCUGAGCCUAUGGUGCACUGGGCACAAACCAUGCAACUAUCUUGCACCGAAACUAAUAUUAUCUCCAACUGGACCGAAGCGAGAUUCCAUAUGAUACACUUCAUCUAGUAGUUCCAUCGGGUGCAUCUACAGUUCCAUCGGGUUUGGCCAAAUUGAUUUCUGAGCAUAUGGUCUGUUCCAUGCAUACCAUGCACCUAUCUUGCAUCAAGAUUAGAACUAUCUCCAAAAAGACAGAACAAAGAUUCCACUUGAGCCUCUUCACCAAGGAGUACCAUUGUGUGCGUCCAAAAUAGUUUAUUAGCCUAUGGAGCAUUAGGCACAAACCGUGUACCUAUCUUGCAACGAAACUAACACUAUCUCCAAAGAGACCGAAGUAAGAUUCUAAAUGACACACGUCAUCUAGGAGUUCUAUUGGGUGCUUCCAAUUAUAUUUCGAAGCAUAUGGUACGUUCCAUGCAAUUUGUGCACCUAUCUUGCAUCAAGAUUAGCACUAUCUCCAAACAAAAGCAAACUGAGCUUCCACUUGAGCCCCUUUACCCAGGAGUAUCAUCGGGUGCAUCCAAAAUGGUUUCUUAGCCUAUGAUGUAUUAGGCGCAAACUGUGUACCUAUCUUGCACCAAAACUAACUCUUUCUCCAAACAAACUGAAGCGAGAUUCCAUAUGACACAUGUCAUCUCGGAGUUCUAUUGGGGUGCGUCCAAAUGGAUUUCUUAGCAUAUGGUAUGUUCUAUGCAAACCGUGCACCUAUCUUGCAUCAAAAUUAGCACUAUCUCCAAACAAAUCAAACCGACCUUCCACUUGAGCCACUUCAACUAGGAUUAUCAUCGGGUGCUUCCAUAAUGGUUUCUGAGCCUAUGGUGCAUUAUGCGCAAACCAUGCACCAAUCUUGCACCUAAACUAACACUGUCUCCAAACAGAUUGAAGCGAGAUUCCAUAUGACACACAUGAUCUAGGAGUUCUAUCGGGUGCGUCCAAAUUGAUUUCUAAGAAUAUGGUACGUUCCAUGCAAACCGUACACCUAUCUUUCAUCAAGAUUAGCACUAUCUCCAAAUAGACCGAGCCGAGCUUUCACUUGAGCCUCUUCACCUAGGAGUACCAUCGGGAACUUCCACAACAAUUUCUGAGCCUAUGGUGCACUGGGCACAAACCAUGCAACUAUCUUGCACCGAAACUAAUACUAUCUCCAACCGGACCGAAGCGAGAUUCCAUAUGAUACACUUCAUCUAGUAGUUCCAUCGGGUGCAUCUACAGUUCCAUCGGGUUUGUCUAAAUUGAUUUCUGAGCAUAUGGUAUGUUCUAUGCAAACCAUGCACCUAUCUUGCAUCAAGAUUAGAACUAUCUCCAAACAGACAGAACUAAGAUUCCACUUGAGCCUCUUCACCAUGGAGUACCAUCGUGUGCGUCCAAAAUAGUUUCUUAACCUAUGGUGCAUUAGGCACAAACAGUGUAACUAUCUUGCACCAAAACUAACACUUCCUCCAAAGAGACCGAAGUGAAUUCUGGGAUCAUCUANNNNNNNNNNNNNNNNNNNNNNNNNNNNNNNNNNNNNNNNNNNNNNNNNNNNNNNNNNNNNNNNNNNNNNNNNNNNNNNNNNNNNNNNNNNNNNNNNNNNNNNNNNNNNNNNNNNNNNNNNNNNNNNNNNNNNNNNNNNNNNNNNNNNNNNNNNNNNNNNNNNNNNNNNNNNNNNNNNNNNNNNNNNNNNNNNNNNNNNNNNNNNNNNNNNNNNNNNNNNNNNNNNNNNNNNNNNNNNNNNNNNNNNNNNNNNNNNNNNNNNNNNNNNNNNNNNNNNNNNNNNNNNNNNNNNNNNNNNNNNNNNNNNNNNNNNNNNNNNNNNNNNNNNNNNNNNNNNNNNNNNNNNNNNNNNNNNNNNNNNNNNNNNNNNNNNNNNNNNNNNNNNNNNNNNNNNNNNNNNNNNNNNNNNNNNNNNNNNNNNNNNNNNNNNNNNNNNNNNNNNNNNNNNNNNNNNNNNNNNNNNNNNNNNNNNNNNNNNNNNNNNNNNNNNNNNNNNNNNNNNNNNNNNNNNNNNNNNNNNNNNNNNNNNNNNNNNNNNNNNNNNNNNNNNNNNNNNNNNNNNNNNNNNNNNNNNNNNNNNNNNNNNNNNNNNNNNNNNNNNNNNNNNNNNNNNNNNNNNNNNNNNNNNNNNNNNNNNNNNNNNNNNNNNNNNNNNNNNNNNNNNNNNNNNNNNNNNNNNNNNNNNNNNNNNNNNNNNNNNNNNNNNNNNNNNNNNNNNNNNNNNNNNNNNNNNNNNNNNNNNNNNNNNNNNNNNNNNNNNNNNNNNNNNNNNNNNNNNNNNNNNNNNNNNNNNNNNNNNNNNNNNNNNNNNNNNNNNNNNNNNNNNNNNNNNNNNNNNNNNNNNNNNNNNNNNNNNNNNNNNNNNNNNNNNNNNNNNNNNNNNNNNNNNNNNNNNNNNNNNNNNNNNNNNNNNNNNNNNGCCCCUUUACCCAGGAGUAUCAUCGGGUGCAUCCAAAAUGGUUUCUUAGCCUAUGAUGUAUUAGGCGCAAACUGUGUACCUAUCUUGCACCAAAACUAACUCUUUCUCCAAACAAACUGAAGCGAGAUUCCAUAUGACACAUGUCAUCUCGGAGUUCUAUUGGGGUGCGUCCAAAUGGAUUUCUUAGCAUAUGGUAUGUUCUAUGCAAACCGUGCACCUAUCUUGCAUCAAAAUUAGCACUAUCUCCAAACAAAUCAAACCGACCUUCCACUUGAGCCACUUCAACUAGGAUUAUCAUCGGGUGCUUCCAUAAUGGUUUCUGAGCCUAUGGUGCAUUAUGCGCAAACCAUGCACCAAUCUUGCACCUAAACUAACACUGUCUCCAAACAAAUUGAAGCGAGAUUCCAUAUGACACACAUGAUCUAGGAGUUCUAUCGGGUGCGUCCAAAUUGAUUUUUGAGAAUAUGGUACGUUCCAUGCAAACCGUACACCUAUCUUUCAUCAAGAUUAGCACUAUCUCCAAACAGACUGAACCGAGCUUUCACUUGAGCCUCUUCACCUAGGAGUACCAUCAUGAACUUCCACAACGAUUUCUGAGCCUAUGGUGCACUGGGCACAAACCAUGCAACUAUCUUGCACCGAAACUAAUACUAUCUCCAACUGAACCGAAGCGAGAUUCCAUAUGAUACACUUCAUCUAGUAGUUCCAUCGGGUGCAUCUACAGUUCCAUCGGGUUUGUCCAAAUUGAUUUCUGAGCAUAUGGUAUGUUCCAUGCAAACCAUGCACCUAUCUUGCAUCAAGAUUAGAACUAUCUCCAUACAGACAGAACCAAGAUUCCACUUGAGCCUCUUCACCAUGGAGUAUCAUCGCGUGCAUCCAAAAUAGUUUCUUAGCCUAUGGAGCAUUAGGCACAAACCGUGUACCUAUCUUGCACCGAAACUAACACUAUCUCCAAAGAGACCGAAGUGAGAUUCUAUAUGACAGACUGCUGACGGUCCUUAAUGCUCACAUUUAACCAUCAACUAAUCAUAGAAAAUGAUCCAAAUGCAAGCAACACCUAGACUCAGGGUUUUAUCUGACAGAAUUCCACGAGUUUUGGUGUUUGUCUAUUUCUGCAGGGGGUUAUCAGGAAAUACGGAAGAAAGGCCCACACGUCGGGUUUACAUAGAGAUAUUAACGUGCCGCGCAAUUUUCUAUCAUCUAGAAGACUCCAGAAGCCACGGGACCGAAGCGGAGGCCGAGAGGGCUCAGGCACAGGGCGCCCGCCCUAGUCCCUUGGGCGCCCGCCCUCAGCCAGAGUCCAAUCAGGACUCUCUUUCGAGAUAUUGCUCCACCGACCUAAAGGAUCAACAAUAACCGUUCAAUCAAUGUCGGUUUGAUCCGACGGCCCAGAUUCACUUGAAGGGACUAUAAAACCAGACCCCCCUGGCCCCUGGAGAUCAUACCUCUUCUACAAAAUCAAAGCUAGGGUUUCAAUUCUUCAUCCAAGUAGAGAGGAUCCCUCUAGUUCUUCUAGUUCUACAUCUAGUUCAUCUAGAUCUAGUUCUAGUUCAUCUAGUUCUAGUUCUAGUUCCUCUAGUUCUAGUUCUAGUUAGUUCUAGUUGUAAUCUAGAAAAUAGUGAGAGAGAAGAGGAGAGCGGAGGAGGAGCCGGAUCUGUCGGAUCUUCCUCAACAUUGUACUUUUGCAGCAACUGGUUCGUUCUUCAUCGUUCUCCAGGUUCUUCAAUUCAUAACUCCUGAGUUCUCUAAUUACUUUUAUUUACAUUCAAGUUAUUUAUUGGAUUCCCGCUUGCAUCAAGUGCUCUAGUCUUUAUAACGCUAGAGUAGUAAUUAAUAGAUUAGACGUGGUGUUUAGUCUUGCGAUUACCUGGAAUUGCACCCAAUCCUACGGAUUGUUGUGGUAGCCCUAGGGUAGUGACAGCCCUAACGGUCGACGUAUUCCACCAUGUUCGGAUCGGUGUUUGUAGGACCGUAGUCAGACCUUCCUAGCCCCCUUCUCAUCUCUUUCUGUGGUUAGUGCUCUGAUGUCCCGAUAUAGAUAAUCUUGAAGUAAUUCUUGAUUCUUAGAUCAACUAGAGAACUCCCAGGAAACUUCCUCUCUUCCCACCAAAAAUAUUCAUAUAGUUAUCCUUGGGCGAUCUUGGAUCUUAAUUAGUACACUCACGUUCCCUGUGGAAAAUCGAUACUCUGGAAUACUCCCGGGUGAAGGCUACAUCAGUAUCCGUGCGCUUGCGGAUUUUUCUGUUUGCGUUUAAAAUACCCAACAAGCUUUCUGGCGCCGUUGCCGGGGAACGGUAGCUGUGCUAGUUUCGAAUGAAGUCGCCCGUGUAUCCUUUUUCUUUUCCUUUUUUACCACACUCACCUUAUCACUUUCACCAUACCACAUGGAUUUCACUCUAAGCAUUAAUGAGCAUGGAAUUUAUUUCAUAGCCACUUCACUUACUCCAUGCUCAUAUGCAACAUCUUCACAAUCCAUUGGUCUCUCCAACAUCACCACAUUCGAGAUCUCCAACCCCCUCAUCCUUUCUAUUUAUAAAAACUUUAAAAGGGUGGUUGUCGAUGCAUAUGUCUAUAAUAAAUUUUGCAGAUCUCGUUGAGUUGAUCUUGAUAUAGGUCAGCGUUGGAGGGGAAACCACUUCGCUGACAUAAAUUAAUGGUUUCCCAAGGACAAGCUUAGUGUCCUAAAAUAAGCACUGAUCAGAUCGUAACAUGAGCUUUUAAUUAUUUGCAACAUUACCUUGUGUAUUGAGCAUAUAAGGAUAAUUGUAAAAAUAUUCCUUCGGAUAUUCUUGCCACUAACCUUUCCAGGAUUGGAGCAAGAAGAUCGGAUGAAUGACAAGCACAAGGUAUGUCCAACCAAACAUCAUACAACAUUGAAUUAAAUUCAUCCAAACUUGAAUUUUGCAAAAUUCAAGCUUGGGGGAGUACUUUACAUAAAAACAUCCUUUGCCAUGUUGCGAUGUUGGUUGUCCCUACCUUUAAGACAUGCUCAAUUUGUUAAAUACUAAUCACACUACUUCUUCUCCACUUGAGUAGAUCUCUAUAAAUGCUCUCAUGCCACCUUUAUUUGCUUUAGUAUAUGUCUAGGUUUGGAGUAGUUUCAUUUAUCUCUUAAUUAAGCAUGGUGCUUAGCUAGGAAUGAUGAUCUUACUUCCAAGGGAUUUUAGAUUAAGCAUGGUGCUUAGGUUAAAAUGCCCUCCUAAAUCAAAUUAGACAUGGUGUCUAGGUUGAUCUUUGAGCCGAUAGUAUGCUAUAGUAGAUAUUGGAUAUUUUGUUGGACUAACCCCUGCAGGAAAACUUUCAAUAUCGACCUGGGAAGUCCUGAGAUAAGCUCACAUUGAAGACAAAGACUGAGACACAUGAAGUUUAACAAUUUACACAAGGAAGGCAUAGCUCACAAGAGAUGAUCCAUGGAGGGUGCCACAAACACGAUGCACAACCGCUAAGAAAGGAAAGCUUCCACAAGGUCAUACCGUACCAUCACUCUUCAAGGAAGGUAACAUCUUAAGGUACUUGACUAUCACUUUAUAAGUUUCUCUUUGGUUCUAGCGUUCACAUGAGUAAAAGAGACAAACAUGUAUGAUUUACAACUCUAGAUUAACCAACCCAAUCGAUUCAAUAUGUUUAGUCCUUCCACCUUUGUGAUCCCACACUCCUAAUCAUAUGAGCUAAAAUGUUGCACACUCAAUCUUUGGAAGAUAUAUAUAUAUAAAAAAACAUAAGUAUAGAUAGAUUAUCUUUCCAUUAGGUUGAGUGAUCUGAUCUGACGAAUGUUUUAAAUGCUACACUCAUGAUCUUAUUAUCCAUCAACUGUGUCUUGCUCACUAUGCUUAAGGUUAGAGAAGAACAAAUACACUUCUGGUUCUGUUGGUGUGUUCUACCAACAGGGCCCAUGCACUUGAUCUCUGCCUUGUCUCUAUGAGCAGAUACACUUCGAGCAAAAUAUGACGGAGUUUUACAACUCCCAGACUCCAUCAAGUGAAGAACCUACAUCUACGAGCACAAACACACUGGAGAUACUGGACACUCAGGCAAUCACUGCCCUGAGAUGCUUGAGGACGUAACUACUGGAGUAACCUCGUUGUGGAAGUAAUUACUGACCUUCUGCCGGUCAAGAGAGGCAAUCCAGGAUGCACUGUCAUCCCGAUCUCCAUCGGCAUGCCUGCAGAUCAGACACUAAGUUUCCCAAAAGGAAUAUUGAAGAACCUCUGCGUCCGAGUUGGUACCUUGUACGCCCCAGCAGACUUCAUGGUGAAAGAGACUGGUACUAAUGAGAGGGCACCCAUCAUUCUAGGGAGGCCAUUACUAAACACCUCGGGAGCUGUCAUCUACGCUAGUGCUGCCAAGAUCAGUUUCUACAUCAAGGGGAAUAAGGAGACGUUUUCCUUCAAGAACAAGACUACACAAAUCUUAGAGCAAUCCCGACAUGAACCAAGGAAGAGGACCAACAGGAGGAACAGGAACAAGCAAAUGUGUACCGAGUCAUCUAAGAUGGUCACUGCAGCUCAAGGAGGUCAAGAUCGUCAACUCAAGUCACCUUUCUUGAUCAAGAAGGAUGACCCUGGUGUUCCAAGCAUCGAGUGCACAAUCAACGGAUAUUCUUUUCAGAAGACACUCUACGACACUGGAUCUAACGUCAACAUAAUGGCCGCAGUCACUUAUCAGCUCCUGCAUGGAACCAUGUCCCUACAACCAACAUACAUUCAGCUCCAGAUGAUUUUAAGGUUAUUGACAUGGGAGAAGACAAGUACGAUCCACCCAUCAUCCUUGGAAGACCGUUCCUCAGCACUGUUAAAGCAAUCAUCUACAUUGGAACCGGAGAAGUCCACAUGCACUUCCCCUCUAACAAGGUACGCCGCUAUUUUACUGACCUUAAUUAUAUAGUUGAAGACUCUAAGCAGGUCAGGACAAGAAGAAGACGACGCAACCGUAACCAGAGAAGGCAAAAUCAUCAAGGACGGAUGGGUAGACUAUGAAGGAGAAGUUGUAAGGUCUGAAGAUAUACAGCUUGAUCAGAACUGUCCUAAGGAGACCGUAGCACCGAGUCAGGUGUGUAGAGAGAAGAUUGUUAUACACGAAGAGGAGGCGCCGCCGGAACCACCGACUAUGCCAUCCAGCGAAUCCUAGGAUGAUUGAGAAAACGGAGAGUCCCGUUCGGAGGACUUAAAAACACCGAACGCCUUGCCAAGAGGUAAACUUGGUAGUUAUCUUUCUCCUUUCAAUUAUUUAAAACAGUUUGCUUAGUUAAUCAGGUUUAUAUCAUCUUGAAAAGAAAAUAAAAUAGUAAGCCCCAUGUGAUUAUGCUCAUGGCAUAAAACCCAUAAGUACAUUCACUGUGGUGGCAUAAAAAUGAAAUAAAUAUAUUCCUGUCCUAUAAAAUGAAAAUAUAAAAAUAAAUUUAUGAUCCUACUAAAGAGAGUAACAUUUAUUGAGGAAGCUCAACAUGAUAAAGGCUAGAUACUUAUGCUAACACUUAACUAGUUCCACAAAGCUUUGUUGUCUAUUUGAGCUCCACAGAAUUCAAGGAUCAAAGAAGACUAGCAGACGGAGGACAUCCUAAUCGCUGUCAGGGUGCUGCCGACAUUCAAAUACACCUCCGCCACUUGCUAGCUACAUCAGAAGAGAUUACGUCAAAAUCCAGCUUGGGGGAGAGCAACCCCAUUUAUCCAGCUAAGUGUUUCUACUCACAUUUAUACUUUACUCUAAUAAUAAAAUGAUGCAUAAUCAUAGAAACCCAAAUAAAGAUUUUGUGCUUAUAUAUAUCUUUGCUUAGUUUGCUAAAUAAAUAAAUAAAGUUUGCUAUGAACCCUCAUGAUAAGCUCUCACAUGGAAAUUAUGAAUAGUUGCUCUGCCAUGACUAGUUCUCAAAAUUGAACUCUCUCUCAAGUUUAGGCAUAACUGUUAUGAAUUAAGAUUUGCUCUAAACCUAAACUUGUGGGAAGAGUACUUGAUCUGAAGUCUAAGUCGUUAACGGAUAUGAUAUGGAAAGGUUGAGCUGCUGUUUAUCUGUUCCUAGAGAUGCUAGAAUUCUGGAGAAUUUUAUCUUUGGAAAUAUUUAAAAUGUUGCAUGAUGAGUUCCUGUAUGAUGAGAGUUUAAAUUCCUACCACAGCCAUAUAUACAUGCUUGCUAGACUAUGAACUACACAUUUACUUUUUACUGCUUAUGAGCAUUGAGUAUGGUCAAGCUGUGUAGACCCUUAGGAGCUUGUCAUGUGGUUAAAAUCAAGAUUCACUUGCACGUUCACUCAUACAUGUUGCUUCUACUCCGGAAGUACGCAUCCACAUAUAUAGCCAACCAUUUCCAUCUCCAGAACCACCCAAAAAAUAUUCUACUCCUAAUCAAGGAGAGAAUAGCCAAAAACAUUUCUGUUUUCCCUUGUGAAAUAAAUGCUCAAGUUAUCUUGUUACUACCACUUGCUAUAUUGUCUCAUGAGAUGAGUGCUCUAAAAAAAAGAAGAAAAAAAAGAGAGAAUACGAGGAAAUAAAAAGGGGCAAGUGCCCGGAACCUCGAAAGAAAAGAAAAAGUGAGACGAGAGGUAAAAAUGGACAAGUGUCCGACAGUAGAAUUAGGGGUACAAGAUACCCACCUGAGAGAAAAGAAAAAGAAAAUAUAGAGCAUCUCAUUCUCCUCAAAAAGUUUCAAAAGUGCAAGAAAGGUAUGUAUCCCCUCAAAAGAGCAUAAGUAGAAUUAGACUUUCACCAUUGUUAUCACCAUCAUCACCAUACACCAUUCAUUCGCCACACAUGCACAUCUUGAUUUGACUUAUUGACUUGUUCUUUUGGAUCCAUGGUUUGACUAUGCAAUAAAUGUCUUGUAAGUAUGUAUUAGCCGUCUCCCACCUAUGAGCUCCAGAUAUCAAAAGCCUUAUUAGAGUAGGGUGAGAGAGAAGGCAACGCCACUAUGCUUUAUACCACAAAUACCACAUACUUUGAGAGAAGGCAUACACCAUUACUGCCUUGGUAAGGAUCCAGAAAUACCACAAAUGAGAGACUAGAGAGAGUCAUACAAGGAAUCUCUGAGUUUUAUUUGAAAAUCUGCAAAAACUCCAGAGCUAUAGUUAAUCGAAGAACAAGAGACAUGGCGCUUGACUAGACCGUUCUAUCUUUUAACUGCUCAAGACAAAAGUGACAGUUGCAAGCCCCAUGGUGAAAGGUAAUAUGAGUAAGUUUAAAUCUUAACAGUUACCCUAACCCAGAGAUGAGAUCUUGUUUGAAUGCAUGUAUAUCUUUAAGGCAUGAAACCACUGCAGAAACUCUUGAGUUCAUCUUUGCUCAGGGACAAGCAAAGGUUAAGCUUGGGGGAGCUUGUUGACGGUCCUUAAUGCUCACAUUUAACCAUCAACUAAUCAUAGAAAAGGAUCCAAAUGCAAGCAACACCUAGACUUAGGGUUUUAUCUGACAGAAUUCCACGAGUUUUGGUGUUUGUCUAUUUCUGCAGGGGGUUAUCAGGAAAUACGGAAGAAAGGCCCACACGUCGGGUUUACAUAGAGAUAUUAACGUGCCGCGCAAUUUUCUAUCAUCUAGAAGACUCCAGAAGCCACGGGACCGAAGCGGAGGCCGAGAGGGCUCAGGCACAGGGCGCCCGCCCUAGUCCCUUGGGCGCCCGCCCUCAGCCAGAGUCCAAUGAGGACUCUCUUUCGGGAUAUUGCUCCACCGACCUAAAGGAUCAACAAUAACCGUUCAAUCAAUGUCGGUUUGAUCCGACGGCCCAGAUUCACUUGAAGGGACUAUAAAACCAGACCCCCCUGGCCCCUGGAGAUCAUACCUCUUCUACAGAAUCGAAGCUAGGGUUUCAAUUCUUCAUCCAAGUAGAGAGGAUCCCUCUAGUUCUUCUAGUUCUACCUCUAGUUCAUCUAGAUCUAGUUCUAGUUCAUCUAGUUCUAGUUCUAGUUCCUCUAGUUCUAGUUCUAGUUAGUUCUAGUUGUAAUCUAGAAAAUAGGGAGAGAGAAGAGGAGAGCGGAGGAGGAGCCGGAUCUGUCGGAUCUUCCUCAACAUUGUACUUUUGCAGCAACUGGUUCGUUCUUCAUCGUUCUCCAGGUUCUUCAAUUCAUAACUCCUGAGUUCUCUAAUUACUUUUAUUUACAUUCAAGUUAUUUAUUGGAUUCCCGCUUGCAUCAAGUGCUCUAGUCUUUAUAACGCUAGAGUAGUAAUUAAUAGAUUAGACGUGGUGUUUAGUCUUGCGAUUACCUGGAAUUGCACCCAAUCCUACGGAUUGUUGUGGUAGCCCUAGGGUAGUGACAGCCCUAACGGUCGACGUAUUCCACCACGUUCGGAUCGGUGUUUGUAGGACCGUAGUCAGACCUUCCUAGCCCCCUUCUCAUCUCUUUCUGUGGUUAGUGCUCUGAUGUCCCGAUAUAGAUAAUCUUGAAGUAAUUCUUGAUUCUUAGAUCAACUAGAGAACUCUCAGGAAACUUCCUCUCUUCCCACCAAAAAUAUUCAUAUAGUUAUCCUUGGGCGAUCUUGGAUCUUAAUUAGUACACUCACGUUCCCUGUGGAAAAUCGAUACUCUGGAAUACUCCCGGGUGAAGGCUACAUCGGUAUCCGUGCGCUUGCGGAUUUUUCUGUUUGCGUUUAAAAUACCCAACACAGACGUCAUUUAGGAGUUCUAUUGGGUGCUUUCAAUUAUAUUUCGAAGCAUAUGGUACGUUCUAGGCAAUUCGUGCACCUAUCUUGCAUCAAGAUUAGCACUAUCUCCAAACAAAAGCAAACUGAGCUUCCACUUGAGCCCCUUUACCCAGGAGUAUCAUCGGGUGCAUCCAAAAUGGUUUCUUAGCCUAUGAUGCAUUAGGCGCAAACUGUGUACCUAUCUUGCACCAAAACUAACUCUGUCUCCAAACAGAUUGAAGCGAGAUUUCAUAUGACACACAUGAUCUAGGAGUUCUAUCGGGUGCGUCCAAAUUGAUUUAUGAGAAUAUGGUAUGUUCCACGCAAACCGUACACCUAUCUUUCAUCAAGAUUAGCACUAUCUCCAAACAGACCGAACCGAGCUUUCACUUGAGCCUCUUCACCUAGGAGUACCAUCAGGAACUUCCACAACGAUUUCUGAGCCUAUGGUGCACUGGGCACAAACCAUGCAACUAUCUUGCAUCGAAACUAAUACUAUCUCCAACUGAACCGAAGCGAGAUUCCAUAUGAUACACUUCAUCUAGUAGUUCCAUCGGGUGCAUCUACAGUUCCAUCGGGUUUGUCCAAAUGUAUUUCUGAGCAUAUGGUAUGUUCCAUGCAAACCAUGCACCUAUCUUGCAUCAAGAUUAGAACUAUCUCCAUAUAGACAGAACCAAGAUUCCACUUGAGCCUCUUCACCAUGGAGUACCAUCGUGUGCGUCCAAAAUAGUUUCAUAGCCUAUGGAGCAUUAGGCACAAACCGUGUACCUAUCUUGCACCGAAACUAACAUUAUCUCCAAAGAGACCGAAGUGAGAUUCUAUAUGACAGACAUCAUCUAGGAGUUCUAUUGGGUGCUUUCAAUUAUAUUUCGAAGCAUAUGGUACGUUCCAGGCAAUUCGUGCACCUAUCUUGCAUCAAGAUUAGCACUAUCUCCAAACAAAAGCAAACUGAGCUUCCACUUGAGCCCCUUUACCCAGGAGUAUCAUCGGGUGCAUCCAAAAUGGUUUCUUAGCCUAUGAUGCAUUAGGCGCAAACUGGGUACCUAUCUUGCACCAAAACUAACUCUGUCUCCAAACAGACCGAAGCGAGAUUCCAUAUGACACAUGUCAUCUAGGAGUUCUAUUCGGGUGCGUCCAAAUGGAUUUCUUAGCAUAUGGUAUGUUCCAUACAAACCGUGCACCUAUUUUGCAUCAAGAUUAGCACUAUCUCCAUACAGAUCGAACCGACCUUCCACUUGAGCCACUUCAACUAGGAUUAUCAUCGGGUGCUUCUAUAAUGGUUUCUGAGCCUAUGGUGCAUUAUGCGCAAACUAUGCACCAAUCUUGCACCUAAACUAACACUGCCUCCAAACAGAUUGAAGCGAGAUUCCAUAUGACACACAUGAUCUAGGAGUUCUAUCGGGUGCGUCCAAAUUGAUUUAUGAGAAUAUGGUACGUUCCAUGCAAACCGUACACCUGUCUUUCAUCAAGAUUAGCACUAUCUCCAAAUAGACCGAACCGAACUUUCACUUGAGCCUCUUCACCUAGUAGUACCAUCGGGAACUUCCACAACGAUUUCUGAGCCUAUGGUGCACUGGGCACAAACCAUGCAACUAUCUUGCACCGAAACUAAUACUAUCUCCAACUGGACCGAAGCGAGAUUCCAUAUGAUACACUUCAUCUAGUAGUUCCAUCGGUGCAUCUACAGUUCCAUCGGGUUUGUCCAAAUUGAUUUCUGAGCAUAUGGUAUGUUCCAUGCAAACCGUGCACCUAUCUUGCAUCAAGAUAAGAACUAUCUCCAAAAAGAUAGAACAAAGAUUCCACUUGAGUCUCUUCACCAAGGAGUACCAUCGUGUGCGUCCAAAAUAGUUUAUUAGUCUAUGGUGCAUUAGGCACAAUCCGUGUACCUAUCUUGCAACGAAACUAACACUAUCUCCAAAGAGACCAAAGUGAGAUUCUAUAUGACACACGUCAUCUAGGAGUUCUAUUGGGUGCUUCCAAUUAUAUUUCGAAGCAUAUGGUAUGUUCCAUGCAAUUCGUGCACCUAUCUUGCAUCAGGAUUAGCACUAUCUCCAAACAAAAUCGAACCGACCUUCCACUUGAGCCUCUUCACCUAGGAUUAUCAUCGGGUGCUUCCAUAAUGGUUUCUUAGCUUAUGGUGCAUUAUGCGCAAAUCAUGCACCAAUCUUGCACCGAAACUAACACUGUCUCCAAACAGAUUGAAGCGAGAUUCCAUAUGACACACAUGAUCUAGGAGUUCUGUCGGGUGCGUCCAAAUUGAUUUCUGAGAAUAUGGUACAUUCCAUGCAAACCGUACACCUAUCUUUCAUCAAGAUUAGCACUAUCUCCAAAUAGACCGAACCGAACUUUCACUUGAGCCUCUUCACCUAGGAGUACCAUCGGGAACUUCCACAACGAUUUCUGAGCCUAUGGUGCUCUGGGCACAAACCAUGCAACUAUCUUGCACCGAAACUAAUACAAUCUCCAACUGGACCGAAGCGAGAUUCUGUAUGAUACACUUCUGUUGACACCGUUUUUGGGCACGUGUCCAUGAUUGGUAAAGUGUAGGUCGGUAAGAUAUGACGGCAGUGUUUGAUCUACAGGAUGAGUUGCCGAUGAGGAUGGUUGCCGAUGGAGGAGUGGUUGAACGUGACCAAGUCCAUAGGUGAUGAUGUGUUUGUGCCGAUGGCUACGACAAGGGAGUCUGCCGAUGAUAUGGAGAGAGAGUCUGGAAGUUGCCGAUCGGUUUGUGGAGGUGUUCCAGUUUGUCACCGGGGGAUAGUUUUAUGUUUUCCUUAGUUAUUUAAGUCGUUUUGUAUACGAAUUUUGUGUGAUUUGGAAUUCGAGUUCUAGUCGUGUCUGGUUGUAGCUCUUUGAGCAGGGUAUAAAUAUGGAUCCUAGGGCUUUGUAAUCGAUAUCUAUCAAUCAAUCAAACACACGUUUUACUCACAUUCUAAGCAUCUACUUUUUCGACGAAUUUGUCAUACUUUUUCUUUUCAUUACGAGUUCUUAGGAAUUCGUCGACUUAAGCUCGACGUGUUCUCAAGUUCCGCGUGAAUACCUCUUGGCCGUGACAUCCGGGCGCAUCGCUGUUGUCGGGACCAAAGUAUUCGAGUUACCACCUUUGCCGAUAGUAAGGUCAAAUCGGCUCGCACGCCUUAACGUUUAAAUCGGGUAUUAGCCCUUUGUGUUUGCAGAUCAGCUUUUACAUCAACAACUUCAUCUAGUAGUUCCAUUGGGUGCAUCUAUAGUUCCAUCAGGUUUGUCCAAGUUGAUUUCUGAGCAUAUAGUAUGAUCCAUGCAAACCGUGCACCUAUCUUGCAUCAAGAUAAGAACUAUCUCCAAAAAGAGAGAACAAAGAUUCCACUUGAGCCUCUUCACCAAGGAGUACCAUCGUGUGCGUCCAAAAUAGUUUCUUAGCCUAUGGUGCAUUAGGCACAAACCAUGUACCUAUCUUGCACCAAAACUAACACUAUCUCCAAAGACGAAGUGAGAUUCUAUAUGACACACGUCAUCUAGGAGUUCUAUUGGGUGCUUCCAAUUAUAUUUCGAAGCAUAGUCGGGUAUUAGCCCUUUGUGUUUGCAGAUCAGCUUUUGCAUCAACACAUCUUUUGGCACGCCUAGUGGGACCGCUUCAAGAUCAAGAUCAACAUGUCGAAUACUGAGUUCGACUUGGAGAACGUUAUCCCCGUGACAGAAGAUAGUCUCAAAGACGAGCAGAAGCAAGCUAUUGCUAAAGCCAUGGAGGAUUACAAGCAGCAAUGCCUGAGGUCCUUCAGCACAAACAGGAGCGGCGAAGUGAUCCAGAAGGAUGCGCUGCCGAUGCCUCGGCAGGUUACUUUUGAAGCCAAUCCUGGUAAACUUCAAGAGAUGGUUGAUAGUGCUAUCAACCGUGCUUUGAUCAACCAAGCUGGUGUGCUGUCCAAUACGGUUUUCAACGCCAUGGCCAGAACGUUCAAGGAAGGACAAUUGCCACCAGAUUAUGUGGGCCCCUCUCAUCAUCAGCCAGGAUCACCGGUGGUCAUAGCUCCAUCGGCUGCUACGGCCGCUGCGGGUAUGGAAAUUCCUGAUCCGCCAAGCACGUUAGGAGUCACUAAUGCACGAUCUACGCCGAUGACGACUAAUCCACCAACUUCAGAUGGGCAGAUUAAAGUCGCUACAGAUCUAUUGGCAUCGGCAAUGUCAGGAUCGAUUCCUCCUCCUAACUGGUGGGGUUAUGGUAUGCCCCCAGAGUUAACACCGGCUAUGUCGCGGACGACUGAUGUGAGAGGCAAGGCUCCUAUGGCAUCGGCACCCCCAAGCAUUCCGAUGAAUCAGAGUCCCCAGUAUACUACAACUACUACUGCAUGGCCUUACACUGGGAAUUCUCAAGCUUGGAUGUUCUAGAUGCCUAACGCAUCGGCGGACUCAAUGCUGAUCCAACAGAGGAUUAUGACUCAACCAGGGUAUGUUAAUUCGAUGAUGAUGCCCAAUUACCAGUCAUCGGCAGGUCCUAUGCCAAUGAAUGCUAAUAACGGAUGGCUUGGGCAGCAAGUCUUUCCACAAACACUCCAACAGAGUCAUCAGGCUACAGGGUUCCAGUAGAGCCAGAUCUAUCCCGGGUUCCAGAAUCAGGGAAUCCCCAACCAGCCGAUGAAUAUUGGACAGCAGGUCGGCGGACAGCAGAUUGGCGGGCAACAGCUUGGUGGUCCGCAUAUUGGGGGUCAAAUCAUUAACCCAAUGUUUCAUGCAGAUCGUGCACCGCACAGACACGUGGAAGCUUACUAGCAGGUACCGGAUCCGCAACCACCUCAUCGGCAAGAUGCCGAUGCUUAUUGGGCCGAUAAGAUUGCUGAAGUAAUGAGAGACCAAUUUGGGAUAAAACCCAAAGUCAACACUUACUCUUAUCGGACACCAUAUCCUCCCGCAUAUGAUUUGAUCCCGCUUCCGAAUCGGUACAAGGUACCCGAUUUUACCAAGUUUUCCAGACAGGAUGACACGUCAACCAUGGAGCACGUCAAUAGGUUCAUCAUUCAAUGCGGGGAAGCUGGUGACAGGGACGAGUUAAGGGUUCGCUUGUUCUCGUCAUCAUUGUCUGGAUCAGCUUUUACCUGGUUUAUAUCAUUACCUCCCAACUCAGUGAUUACUUGGGCUGAUUUGGAGAAACAAUUCCACAAAUACUUCUUUUCUAGGGUCCAUGAGAAGAAGAUCACCGAUUUGGUCAAAUUGAGGCAACGCAAAUUGAGGCAACGCAAUGAAGAAGAACAAAUGUUAUAGCUUGGUUCUGGAUGAUCGGCAGCUAGCCAAUUUGGCUUUCUAGGGUUUGUUGCCACACAUCAGGGACAAGUAUGCGUCUUAGGAGUUUGAAAGCUUAAGUCAUUUGGUGCAGAGAAUUUUUGUUCAAGAUAUCAAGCCUUUCGAGCCCAAGAGAGCAUGGAACAAGAAGGUGUCGUUCGUUGAUGAAGCGGCAAGCUCGGACUCUGAUGAAGAACUAGUCAUCGGCUUGGCAGAAUGGGUGAAAAACAAAAAGCCGAUGUCUUGUCCUUUUGGGCACAAGGAACGAGAGAAGUUCGCAUUCGACACCACUAAGGCCGAUAGGAUAUUUGACUUUCUACUCCAGGAAGGUCAGAUCAAGCUGUCACCUAAUCAUAUGAUCCCAUCAGCUGAAGAAUUAAAGAGGAUGAAAUAUUGUAAGUGGCACAAUGCAACCUCUCACGACACUAAUGAGUGCAAGGUUUUCAGAAAGCAGCUGCAGUCGGCUAUAGAAUCUGGAAGGAUCAGAUUUGACAGCUCCAAGACCCAGAAGCCGAUGAAGAUUGACCAACAUCCUUUCCCGACAAACAUGCUGGAUGCUAAGGGAAAGGUCAAGGUCUUAACAUCAGAAGCCGCUGAAAGAAGUGCAUCGGUGGAUCCUCAGCAUCAAGUCACUACUACCGACGUGAAAGGGAAAGGUUUAAUCCAGGAGGGAGCUAACUCAGGAAGGCCUCCCCGAUCUGGCAUUGUGAUAACUCACAGGAGGCCUCGGGAGACUUGGCAGCAACGUGAAGAUCGGUAUCGGCGCCAGCAAGAGGAUUAUCAUCAGGAGGAGGAGAGACGCCGACAUGAGUGGAAUCGGCAUCGGGAUCACUGGAAUUGUCCAUUCUUCAUUCAUUGUUGGGAGGAAAAUAUCAAACUUCCUACUGUUAGAGAUUGUCCUGAGUGCAACGGUUAUGAUCAGUAUGACAGGUCCGAUCGGCGCUAUCAAAAUGAUAAUCGGCGGUUUGAUGGACCGAUUAGGGGAAGAGCA